rnacentral:rRNA from 1 species
UACGUAGGGUGCAAGCGUUGUCCGGAAUUAUUGGGCGUAAAGAGCUCGUAGGCGGCUUGGUAUGUCGGGUGUGAAAUCCCCGGGCUCAACCUGGGAACUGCAUCCGAAACUGCCUUGCUCGAGUAUGGGAGAGGGAAGUGGAAUUUCCGGUGUAGCGGUGAAAUGCGUAGAUAUCGGAAGGAACAUCAGUGGCGAAGGCGACUUCCUGGACCAAUACUGACGCUCAGGUGCGAAAGCGUGGGGAGCAAACAGG